GGAGCAAUGGUGAUAGUGGAGUGAGGGUGGUGGUGGUGAUGGUGAUGAUGGUGGUGAUGGUGGUGAUGGUGGUGAUGAUGGUGGUGGUGGUGGUGAUGGUGGUGAUGGUGAUGAUGGUGGUGAUGGUGGUGAUGGUGGUGAUGGUGAUGAUGAUGAUGAUGGUGGUGAUGGUGAUGAUGGUGGGGAGGGUGAUGGUGGUGGUGAUGGUGGUGGAGGGGUGACUCUGACCUCAGGGCCGUCCGCAGGCCUCGUCCGGGAGCAGGAGGCUGGGCUGCUGCAGUUCCUCCGCCUGGAUGGCUUCUCCGUGCUGAUGCGGGCCAUGCAGCAGCAAGUGCAGAAGCUCAAGGUCAAGUCGGCAUUCCUGUUGCAGAACCUGCUGGUGGGCCACCCUGAACACAAAGGCACCCUGUGCUCCAUGGGGAUGGUCCAGCAGCUGGUGGCCCUCGUGCGGACGGAGCACAGCCCCUUCCAUGAGCACGUGCUUGGAGCCCUGUGCAGCCUGGUGACAGACUUCCCGCAGGGAGUGCGUGAGUGCCGGGAGCCCGAGCUGGGUCUGGAGGAGCUCCUCCGUCACCGCUGCCAGCUGCUGCAGCAGCACGAGGAGUACCAGGUGCGUGGGGUGGGCAGCAUCCGCUGCCAGCUUGGCUCCCUCCCUCCCCCGCCAUUCUGUGGUGGUUACCACGGGCGCCCUGUGUCCCUGCAGGGCAGCGAGGAGGAGGGAUGG
rnacentral:lncRNA from 1 species